CAGGACGCUUCCUUCGGGAAGCGAGCGUACACAGGUGCCGCAUGGUUGUCGUCAGCUCGUGCCGUGAGGUGUCGGGUUAAGUCCCAUAACGAGCGCAACCCCUACCUUUAGUUGCCAUCAGGUAAUGCUGGGGACUCUAAAGGAACUGCCUACGCAAGUAGUGAGGAAGGCGGGGAUGACGUCAAAUCAGCACGGCCCUUACGUCCAGGGCUACACACGUGCUACAAUGGCCGAUACAGAGGGCAGCUACCUGGUGACAGGAUGCAAAUCUCCAAAGUCGGUCUCAGUUCGGAUCGGAGUCUGCAACCCGACUCCGUGAAGUUGGAUUCGCUAGUAAUCGCGCAUCAGCCAUGGCGCGGUGAAUACGUUCCCGGGCCUU
rnacentral:rRNA from 1 species